UGGACCAAUGAUGACAACUUGUAAUGGAUGUCAUGGACGAUGAAUAAUACUUGUCUGGAUAUCUGAGGUCCAU